UUAGUUUCUCUUCCACUCAGGAUGAUACCAGUGCUUUGGCAGUGAUUUUCUAUCAAGUUUCCAGCUAAUUUUCCCCACAGACCGGCAGUUUUUUCUGCUCUCAUCUCAUUUCUUCAUGAUGCUGAAGCUAACGCACCAAAUUGAACACGAUGACAUUCAAUUAUGGCUGAAAGAAGAUAUGCGACGCUCUUCUUCAGAUUGAAUUUGGGCAGAUGUUCCACCCGAGGCACGACCGACAGCCCUGAUUUCACAAGCGUCUCAGUUUGACCUUCCGGCAGUAAUCUGUGACGAACAGACCGUCGCUCUUUCAGUCAGUCUCGUUAUCAGCAGAGCUCUCUGGCAGGAAGAUGGAUGACCUUCCAGCAGAGGGCAGAUGUAAGUGGCCAGCGCGGUGUUCUGAUCUCACAAAAACAACAAGGAGAGGAUGUUGUUGCGAUAGAAACUCUGACUCGUCAGGGUCACGUGAGGUCACGCUGCAAAAUUGCUUAAUUAUUUUCAUUUUGUGAGAGCAGGUCCAGGGUUGCAGAAGAGAGGAGGGAAAAAUGUUUUGAAAGGAUUCCUAUGACAUCGUCUGGCCAUGAGGAAAACCUGUAAUUCUCUGUGCAGCAGCAAAUAAUGAAAUCUGGUAUCGACUCGAGCGCAGUCUGAGAACCUGGUCGAUACAAUGAUAGGUUGUGUUCCGUGUCCGUGGUCGCCUUCAAACUGAAAGUUGAACCUGUCUGGUUGGUCUAUAGUCGGUAAAAAUACAUCAGUGGAUCAUCCAGAGCAACCCAGAAAUUGUUGUUGGAAAACGCUAAGCACCACCAGCAAGAGUAUCUUACAAAGAUGGACUUUUUUUUUCUUUUAAAGAGGAAUUAGUUCAUUUUCACUGGUGAUCUGAAAGCCAGUUAUUCUAUAUAAGUCUGUAAAUAAAUAUGACAUUAUAUAUACUCUUUUGAUGCAUAUUGUUCUAAAAACAUGAACUACUGCAGCUUUUAGUUAUCAAAGAAAGUCAUAAGAUAAAAAUAAAGUCAUUCUGAGCUUUAGCUGUCGUACAUUAUCUAAAAAUACUGCUGCAUUGUGUUUGUAUGUUUUUCCAGUAGUCUCACAUCAUAAUGUGAAAAAGCUACAUUGUUCCAGAGCACAAAGUGUAUUUAGAAAGGUAUUAAAUUGUAUUAAAGGCAGUAAACAUG